GAUGAAGAACGUAGCGAAAUGCGAUAAGUAGUGUGAAUUGCAGAAUUCAGUGAAUCAUCGAAUCUUUGAACGCACAUUGCGCCCCUUGGUAUCCCGAGGGGCAUGCCUGUUCGAGCGUCAUUUCACCACUCAAGCCUGGCUUGGUGAUGGGCGACGUCCCCUUUGGGGACGCGCCUCGAAACGCUCGGCGGCGUGGCACCGGCUUUAAGCGUAGCAGAAUCUUUCGCUUUGGAAGUCGGGGCCCCGUCUGCCGGAAGACCUACUCGCAAGGUUGACCUCGGAUCAGGCAGGGAUACCCGCUGAACUUAAGCAUAUCAAUAAGCGGAGGA
rnacentral:misc_RNA from 1 species